CCACUCUCCAAGCCUAAGUACUCCUAUGCGACCGAUAGUGAACCAGUACCGUGAGGGAAAGGUGAAAAGCACCCCGACGAGGGGAGUGAAAUAGACCCUGAAACCGAAUGCCUACAAUCAGUGGGAGCUCGAAAGAGUGACCGCGUACCUUUUGUAUAAUGGGUCAGCGACUUAAUCUAGCGAGCGAGCUUAAACCGAUAGGUGUAGGCGGAGCGAAAGCGAGUCUUAAUAGGGCGCUUUAGUCGCUGGGUAUAGACCCGAAACCGGGCGAUCUAUCCAUGGGCAGGUUGAAGGUUGGGUAACACUAACUGGAGGACCGAACCGACUACCGUUGAAAAGUUAGCGGAUGACCUGUGGAUCGGAGUGAAAGGCUAAUCAAGCCCGGAGAUAGCUGGUUCUCCUCGAAAGCUAUUUAGGUAGCGCCUCAUGUAUCACUGUAGGGGGUAGAGCACUGUUUCGGCUAGGGGGUCAUCCCGACUUACCAAACCGAUGCAAACUCCGAAUACCAAUGAGUACUAUCCGGGAGACAGACUGCGGGUGCUAACGUCCGUAGUCAAGAGGAAAACAAUCCAGACCGCCAGCUAAGGCCCCAAAAUUAUAGUUAAGUGGGAAACGAUGUGGGAAGGCAUAGACAGCUAGGAGGUUGGCUUAGAAGCAGCCACCCUUUAAAGAAAGCGUAAUAGCUCACUGAUCGAGUCGUCCUGCGCGGAAGAUGUAACGGGGCUAAGCAAUAUACCGAAGCUGCGGCAGCAUAGUUUACUAUGCUGGGUAGGGGAGCGUUGUGUAAGUGGAUGAAGGUGAGUUGUAAAGCUUGCUGGACAUAUCACAAGUGCGAAUGCUGACAUGAGUAACGACAAUGGGAGUGAAAAACUCCCACGCCGA
rnacentral:rRNA from 1 species